UGCAUCUGGUCUUAUGAGGUAAGUGAUUCACCAGACCAGACCAGACCAUCUUCUUCCAUUGCUCCAUGAUGCAGGUCUGAUGCCCAGGUGACAGGUGUAGGUGCUUUCGGUGAUUGAUACGCAGCAGCCCGUGAUGCUCUGUGUGUUCCGACACCUUUUUAUCUGCCAGCAUGAACUAUUUUAUCAAUUUGUGCUACAGUAGCUCUUCCAUGGGAAUAGAUAGAAGGGCUAGCCUUACUGAGUCUUGUGCGCUCAUGACAAUGUUGACAAUGUACCCACUGCAGUACCACAACACACCACAGGACCUGAGGUUUCGGAGACGCACUGACCACGUUAGCUGGCCAUCACUAUUUGGCUCGUGCCAGUGUUGCUUAUUGCCUUUCACUUGCUCAUUUUUCUGCUUCUAACACAUCAACUUCAAGAACUGAUUGUUCACUUGCUGCCUAAUAAAUCUCAACUCUUUAGAGGUACCAGUCUAAGAAGAUCAUCUAUAUUAUUGAUUCACAUUAUUUAUUUGGCAAAUUGCUGUGGUAUAAAAUUAACUUUGGGGUGUGCUGCUAUUGAAAAGAACUAAUCUUUAGCAUAACCCCACCUAGUCAUUGAUUAUUCUCCUUUAACAGAAUGCCCUUUGAGUUCCAUUCCUUAAAUGCUUCAAGAAGGUUAUACAAAUCCUCACUACGCUACACACUGAAGUUUUGUUGUAUAAUUGUCUUAGACAAAUGUUAACAAUACAAGAAUUCAACAAAAACCCUUUUAUUUAAAUUUACAAUACAGCAACAAUCUAUUUACACAUGCAGAUUUAUAGAACAUAAAUAUCAUACAAUUACCUGCAUACAAACUGCUACAUAUGUACAAUAUGAAAAGCAAACAUGCUGGUAUUUCUGCAAGUGAAAAAGUAAAAUAAUUGUUUAAUAGAAUUUCUUCUAUUUUCUAACCCAAAUGUAUGAAAUAAUUUAAUUUAAUAUUAAGGUUCAACAUUUGCUUUUUUUUUAGUUUUGCACUGGAGCUCCAAGUCUAAUAUACACAAAUUCAAAAAGGUUUUUGUGGAAACCUGAUCAUAAGAUUUGUAUGUGCUUUUUGAACAUCCCUUUCCAUGUUUGUUGCUCAUUUGCUGUUAUAAGCCUCCACUCUUCUGGGAAGAUGUUCCACUAGAUUUUGAAAUGUGAUCGUGGAGAUCUUUUCCACAAGAGUGUUAUUAAUGUCAGGUACUGAUGUAUUUUAUCCCAAAGGUGUUUAAUAAGGCUGAGGUCCGAACUCUAUGGCAGACCAGUAAAGAUAUGAACAGGUUUGAGUAUCCUAGUUCAAGUGAAGGGAAAAUUCAGUACCACAUUGAAAGGUAUUUUAUACAACCGCAUGCCUCCAGAUUUGUAACCGUUUGGGAAAGAACCACAUAUGGCUGGAAAAGUUAGAUGUUCCAAUAGUUUUGUGCAUAUAGUGUAGCUAUCUACAGUAUUACCUAACAUUUUCAGAAUGGCCAAAGCUUAUAUAUUGUAUAAUUGUUUCAAUAAAAUUUAGUAAUUGUUCAAAUACAUACCUCACAAAGAUGUUUAAAAAUAAUUAAUAUUUACAGAUUUUACAGAUUAUUUGAAAUUUGACAAAUGUUCAGCAUUUUUCUGGUUGCCAUGGUUUAAAUGGUCCUUCUUUUGUCUUCUUAGAGGAAAAAGUAGCUGCAAGUCAAUAUAAAAGUUGUAACUGGUCACCUUUAUCCUUGAAUGAAACAUUUCUGUCCUAAUGGGAUUGGUCUCUACCGAGACAACUUCAGCCUGAUCCACAGACCUGAAAAGCUCACUGAGUACUUUAAUGAUGAUGAAAAUUAUGUGAAUUAUAUGCUAUGGCCUUCACACUCACUUAAUCUCAACCCGUCUGAAUACCUGUGGGAGAUUUUGGAGCGACGUGUUGGUGGACAGUGCUCACUAUCUUCAAAACACCAACUGAAAGAAUAUCUUUUGGAUGAAUAGUGUCUGUCCCUCCAGUACACUUCCAGACACUUGUAGAAACCCCCUAAAGCACAGUGUAACUGUCCUUAUGACUCAUGAUGAGCCAAACCCUUACAAAAAGACUUUGAUAUUUUUAUUCAUUUGUCACCGUCUUUAUAUUAUGAUCAACUUUGGAAGGCUGAGUCUAAAGAGGUAAAAUGUACCAAAUUUGCACCAAGGAAAAUAAAUGUUUCUGGUUGUCUAAGAUGAAAGUUUGCACCGUGUCCCAAACUACGUCAACAAGUCUAUUCAUAUUAAUUGAAAACUGCAUGGGCUAUGAUGGAUGCUGCAUAUAUGUGAAAGGUAACUACAACAGCCUCAUUGCUCCUGUGCAAAACUAAAACAAAAAAGCAAAUGUCUUGGAUGAACCAUUACAUUUCAGGUCCGAAAAAAUUCUGAAAUCGUUUAGAAACCUGUGAUUGGCUUCAAUGUAUAAAGAAGUUUCUCCGGGGAAGAUGAGGUUAAUACAGGGCUCCUUAUUGCUGGUCAUAAUUUGAAAUACAAAUACUGACUUGGCCCCAAGUCAGAUACACAUCCAAUACAGCUGAGCUGUUGUUACAGGAAGUCUGUGUGCUCUAGUCUCAAGUUUCUUGGUUGCUGAUUAAUUUGCUGUGCUACACACACACACACACACACACACACACACA